GACGAACGCUGGCGGCGUGCUUAACACAUGCAAGUCGAACGGUGAAGCGCCUUCCUUUUUGGUGGGUGUGGAUGAGUGGCGAACGGGUGAGUAACACGUGAGUAACCUGCCCCCUUCUUCUGGAUAACCGCAUGAAAGUGUGGCUAAUACGGGAUAUUCUGGGUCUGUCGCAUGAUGGGUCUGGGAAAGAUAUUGUUUCGGUGGGGGAUGGGCUCGCGGCCUAUCAGCUUGUUGGUGGGGUGAUGGCCUACCAAGGCGGUGACGGGUAGCCGGCCUGAGAGGGUGGACGGUCACACUGGGACUGAGACACGGCCCAGACUCCUACGGGAGGCAGCAGUGGGGAAUAUUGCACAAUGGGCGCAGGCCUGAUGCAGCGACGCCGCGGGAGGGAUGGAGGCCUGCGGGUUGUGAACCUCUUUCGCCAGUGAAGCAGGCCUGCCUCGUUUGUGGGUGGGUUGACGGUAGCUGGAGAAGAAGCGCCGGCUAACUACGUG
rnacentral:rRNA from 1 species